rnacentral:misc_RNA from 1 species
UUAACUAUUAUAUAGUACUCAGACGACACUAAUAUUCAGGGUUUGGGGUUCUCUGGCGGGCGCUUACCAACCGAAGCCGGUAGCCUGACCGAGGCCUGACGGCCCGCCAAAGCAACAAAGAUAGUAUAACACAGGGUGGGAGAUCUACCCUUGCGGGCAUGAACUCUGUAAUGAUCCCUCCGCAGGUUCACCUACGGAGA